rnacentral:rRNA from 1 species
AUGGAGGAGGCAAGGCCGUCGUCGACUUUCCCCGACUGGGAUGGUCUUCCAAACGAUCUCUUGAGGAGCAUCGGCGAGCUCCUGGACGUGCCCUGCUGCAUAUGGUUCCGCGGCGUGUGCCGGUCCUGGCGCGCGGCUCUCCCCGCGAUGCAGCCGCCGUGGCUGGUGAUUCCCGACGGCGGGUACCCCACCUGGAUGGACUACUUCACAUUUGUCGCCCUCCCGACGCGCAGCUGCGCCCGCUGGGCACUUCCGGGUUCGCGCUGCGUCGGCUCCAGCGCGGGCUGGCUCGCCCUCCUCGACCCUAAGAUGAGCGUCACGCUGCUGAACCCCCUGACGCACGCGCAGGUCCGCCUUCCGCCGCUCCGGCGAGACCAAUUCCUCUAUCCUAGUCCCUUCGGCAUCAACUCCGACGGCUCAGCGAAAUACUUCUACGCGGGUGCACCGUUGUCAGAAAGGCCCGCUUGCAGCGUGCAGGAUAAGUUGAUCCAGAAGGCGGCCUUCUCCGCCAACCCCAACGCCCAGGACCACGCGGUUGCCGUCCUUUGCCGAUACGGCCUUGGCCUCGCGUUCACCAAAGCCGGCCAAAACCACUGGCAGUGGCUGGACUGGCCUGACGCUGCGGGCCGCCACAGACGGGUCGGCGGCGAGCUCUAUGGCGCCAGCAAUACAGACCUUGACAUCGUGUACCACGACGGCAAGUUUUACUACAUGACACUGUGCGGGCAGAUAUGGACCCUCGAUGCCGCCGCGCCUUCCCCCGUCACGCCUGUGCCGUUCGUCAAGUGCCGCCCUCAGCUUGGUCCCGACCAUCGCCGCUAUGGGAAGCAUAUGGUGUUCACCCAAGACGGCAUGUUGCACGUGGUGUGGAGCGACGGCCCCGGUCUACCUUUCGAUACUCGAACCCGGCCCAUGCGAAUGCAUGUUCAGAGCUACCAUCCAGGAAGCUCGCGGACCCGACGCUGGAGGAAGGCGCGGCACUUGAGUGGCCGAGCCUUCCUCAUCGGCAGCCGCAGCCACUCGCUGGCGGUGCCGGCCUCUGUGGCGUCUGCACCAUCGACGUGGAUAAGGCCGAACUGCGUCUACUUCACCUGUAUCAUGCCAGGUUCCGACUAUAUCAGCGGAGAGUCUGUGGAGUGGCUGCCUCCAGAAAUUUGGGAGUUCGACGUGAAGACCGGUGUCUUCCGGGAGUGCGACAGACGAGACAUUCCAAAUUCAGAUUGGCUCGAGUGGCCAAAAGCUAUCUGGUUUACGCCAUCCUUGCUGUGA